rnacentral:lncRNA from 1 species
UCCUAGAGAGUAACCUUCACUUGAGCAACCUCACAACCCAACUUUCCCAACCCCUUAUACAACCAACAAAGAAUCUUUCUACUCAAAAAUCUCACUUGUAAGCUUGUAUUUUGUGUUGGCAAAAGUCUCUUGUCUUCUUGUGCUUUGGGGUUUUUAUAGAAGGUGAGAAAUGGCUCCAAAAGGCUCUCCAACGGUCAAAUAUUAAAUGCUGUCAAAACUAGCCGUUGGCCUGUCGGACGGACGUCCGUCCAAACCACCUGUCGGACGUCCGAACCCUGCGUCCGAACGUCGUCAGAGAGUCAUCAAAUCUUUGCGAAAUUUCUCGGACGUCCGAUGCGAUCGAUGUGCGUCCGA